rnacentral:tRNA from 1 species
GCCCGGGUGGCGGAAUGGUAGACGCUGAGGACUUAAAAUCCUUUGUCCGUAAGGACGUGCGGGUUCGAGUCCCGCCCCGGGCACCA